rnacentral:rRNA from 1 species
UCAGGCCUAACACAUGCAAGUCGAGCGGCAGCGGGAAAGUAGCUUGCUACUUUUGCCGGCGAGCGGCGGACGGGUGAGUAAUGCCUGGGAAAUUGCCCAGUCGAGGGGGGAUAACAGUUGGAAACGACUGCUAAUACCGCAUACGCCCUACGGGGGAAAGCAGGGGACCUUCGGGCCUUGCGCGACUGGAUAUGCCCAGGUGGGAUUAGCUAGUUGGUGAGGUAAUGGCUCACCAAGGCGACGAUCCCUAGCUGGUCUGAGAGGAUGAUCAGCCACACUGGAACUGAGACACGGUCCAGACUCCUACGGGAGGCAGCAGUGGGGAAUAUUGCACAAUGGGGGAAACCCUGAUGCUUCCAGGCCGCGUGUGUGAAGAAGGCCUUCGGGUG